rnacentral:rRNA from 1 species
UAGGAAUCUUGCACAAUGGGCGAAAGCCUGAUGCAGCGACGCCGCGUGAAGGAUGAAGGUUCUCGGAUCGUAAACUUCUUUUAAGUGGGAAGAAAUUUGACGGUACCACUUGAAUAAGCCCCGGCUAACUACGUGCCAGCAGCCGCGGUAAUACGUAGGGGGCGAGCGUUGUCCGAAGUUACUGGGCGUAAAGCGCGCGUAGGCGGUUUCUUAAGUCUGGGGUGAAAGGUUCAACGCUCAACGUGAACAGUGCCUUGGAUACUGGGAGACUUGAGUUAGGGAGAGGGUAGUGGAAUUCCUGGUGUAGCGGUGAAAUGCGUAGAUAUCAGGAGGAACACCAAUGGCGAAGGCAGCUACCUGGCCUAUAACUGACGCUGAGGUGCGAAAGCGUGGGGAGCAAACGGGA